AAUAAAAUAAAAAAAUACUUAGCCAAAAAAAACUUCUUUGGGUCUCCCCUCCUGCCAUUCACUCUCUCUAUAUAUGAUACAUCUUCUUCCUCGCCGUGAUAAUAUAACAAAGUCCUCGCCGUGUUGUUGUCGUCUUUGGCCUUCUGAUUCCAAUUCCAAGGCCUUCACUGGACCCCAAAAUCUGUGACAGGAAUAAUAGCUUGGUUUGGUAAUCUUUUGGUUAUUAUCUGGUUUAGUAUGUAUUUUGGUUUGUUUAUCCGGUUUAGCAAACACAUUAUAUGUAAUCCUAUCUCAUUAGUGAGAAUCAAUCAACCAAAUAACAAUUAUCUCUUCUUCUCUCUCACUCUAUGUACGAUUGUUCAUCAUCAAUCAUCAUCAUCAUCAAAUCUUAGUUCUCUGAGUUGGUUCUUCUUCCUUUGUAACCUUCUCUUAGCCUUUGAUUUGCCUUUUCCUUGAGUUCUCGGUGAACUCUGGAUUAGGGAUUCAAUUUACUGUUACAAAAUCAAACAAAGCAAACCCUAGAUGAUCAAUUGCAGAGGGAGACAAUAGCUAUUUCGUCGACGAUUCUUUCCACCGGUGGUGGCUAAACUUUCACAGAUCUCUUCAUCUCUGUAACAUUUUUUCUGAGUCACCGGAGCAAGUCGACACAAGAUUCUUGUCUCUCAACAAGAGUAGAUGUCCUGUGUCACGUGCCAAAAGGGUGUUCUCUGACGCCAUUUACGAGUCUAACAAAUGGGUCGUCAAUGCGGCAACGUCUCUGGUUUCAGGUCGAGUUUUGUUAUUAGAAGAAGUUUUGCAAAAUGAGCUUCAUGGACAAGGACCAAUAAUGUAGAUAAGAAACGUCUCCUCUCAUCUCAAAACGAUGGCCGCCGAUGUUGUCACUGCUUCUCCUCGUCGACCAAUAGCCGCCUCUGCUAGUUCCGUUGGUUUCUAUACUCUUGUUUCUCUGAACUUUUUUUUUUGACUAUGUAUGGUCAGAUCUAAAAGAAGGAAACAGCAAGGAUAUGGGAGGAAAAGGAUUCGUAGCUGCGAAGAUGAUGGCUGGUUACCAUCUAUUAUUCAUACUGAUACUUGUUUUUCUCUUAUUUAGAUUAUGUUCAUGAGGUAUAGAGCAAAUAAGAGACAAAUUAACUCUUCUGUGAUUCACAACUUUUGGGGUAAGUAUUCUUUCCCUUAUACUCUUGUUAAACCUUUCCGGGUAAGUAUUCUUUCGGGUUAUAUCCAUUUGAUUUUCAGAACCUCCUCAUAUAAGUAAUUGGUUUUCAAGCUAUGUAUAUGAAUCACCGAUGCUAGAUACAAGUAAUGGUUCUGAAUUAUCUGAUUAUGGAGGAAGUGUGAAUGUAUAAAGGAUAUGGAAUUGUUGAAUAUAUAUCUAAUAUCUAUGUACAAACUAUAUUCUGUUUCAGUUGGCUCAUUUGUGACUGCUUGAUGUGUUUCUUGUUUUCUUUUCCAGCUCUAGUUCUCCUACUCAAUUCACCAUCUGUAAGUAAAACUCUUUCAAUCUUAGUUUCAGUAUCAUGAAUCAAUGUGUGUGUGUGUGGAAACUAUGCAGUUUGUUGAUGACUGUCAAAGGUAUUAGAAGCACAGUGAGAAGCUGAAAAGAAAGACUUGACAUUCAUUAUCACAGAGUGUAUCAAAGGCUUUUAAGGAUGCUAGUGUUAUUCUUCCAAAACUUCAAGUUACAAAAAUAAGUUAUUUAUUUUAUGUAAUGUAACUAUGUAUGUAAAAUCGGUUUUGUGGAAUGAAUCUUCUCCAUAAUUUAUAUAUUUUCACAUAA